UUGCUUUGGAACACGGCUUGUUUAUAAUUUGUGUGAGCGUACAACAAAUAUUGUUUGUAACCUGGCCUCAUUUUGAUAAUACUUUUAACAGCAGCCCUAGAUUUUGCAAGCUUUAAUGAAUGACUUACAGACAGUCCUUUAUAUGAGUGAGUAAUGUGGCAUUUUUGUAUAUUGAAAACAAAUUUUUGCAAGUUGCAACCUCGAAUACAGCAGGGCAAAUAUACUAGAAAUUAAUGUAACAGAGGCUACAUGGUGCAGUGAUGUGCAUUUAGACCACCUUCACUGUCCACAUGAUAAAAAUAAAAUAACCAAUACAAUGAAGAAACGUUGCGAUUGAAGGAAUGCAGGACACUUUAUUGCAUUAUGUUUUUAUGCUUUUUUCUGUUUAUACUGGUAUACAUACAUUAACUGUAUAGUUCAAGAGUCUAUAGAGAAGUGUCCCCAAGAUAGAAAAUCAAUAUUUCUGAAGUUCAAGACCAAAGUACAAAUGGCAACAAUGGGAAAGGAUUAGGUAAGAGUAAUGCUGGACACACAACUGUCUUGUUUUGUGGAAAAAACAUCCAUGUCACAUUUGAAAAAUCUACAUAUAAAACUAGAAAACCUUGCCAAUGUUGUCCAUAUUAUUUUGCAGAAAAGAUGCUAUCAGCUAGUGAUUACAGGUAUACAAUCUUUUAUAUGAACACAUGCAUACAACACAAAGGAGAAUUGUCUUGUUACAGCUGAUUCCACCAGCUGCAAAAGAUGCAUCCCUGUAGCAUCAUGCUACUAUUAACGUAAAGACCUAAUCUUAAUACAGCAAAAAUGAACAUGAAUUGUAAACAUACAAAUUCAAAAUGCAAUAGGCCACCUUUGGAAAAUAAUCAUCAAAAAUGAUUAAAAUGAAAUAGCAAACAGCAAAAAAAAAAAAAAAAAGCAUUUGCAAGAUUUGUUCAUUCAUAUACACAUUUAAGGAAGCUUGACAUUAUUUCUGCUAAAUGCUCAGACAUUGUAUUUCCUGCAUUAAAUGGACCCUUAGCACAUUUCUGAGAGAUCUUGUCCCAUCUAAUGCAACACACAGGUCAGAAGCUGAUCAGUAAAGCAUGGCCACUAUUUAGUUUGCCAUUACAAAUAGUGAUAACCUGAAUUUAGACUUCUCAAGCAUUUCUUAAUUUUCUUCAUAUUGUCAUUUUUCAUAGUUAAACAGACUGAAGUCACAUCCCCAUAGUAUCUGAAUCUUGGAUGUGUGUGAGAAAGGGGAGGAAAAUCUCACUCAUUGGUAUCGGGGCACAGUGUAUUUUUCCAAAUCCUCAUUUGUCUGUAGCAAAGUGCUGACAUUAACCACGCUGCAGUGUAAACAAUGUACAAUGGAAAUAGCAAUACUGCGUUUGGGUGAGAAUUGAUUUCACCACACCAAUGCAGUACAUAUCAUCUCCCUUAUAUUGUACUUUAGAUGAAGUAUUCUUGGAGCAGCUGGGAUUACCGAAAAUUGUGGCCCGGAUUUAAAAUAUAGGAAGCGGACAGGGAAGCUCUGACCUCUUCACACAGUAAAACAUAACUCAUCAAAGGGGACAGCAUUCCUAAUAGCCAAAAGUACAAUGUGUAAGUUUGUCAGGUCCACCAUGAGAAUAUAACUGAAUUGAUUCUCCCAUCAAUUCCAUAGGCUCAAUGAGAAAAUAAAACCAUGUGGGCACAGCAAGUCGAGCUCAUUGCAGUGGAAACUAGUUUGGUAGUCAGAGCAGAUUCUUACAGAGAUGCAGAAGAUUUCAUAAAUACCCUUGCAAUAGUGAAGAAGUAUUUAUGAAAUCCAUAAUGGGUGAACCUGAAGUGAGCCAUCGAUGGUUUUGAAACUGAUUGAUUUUUUUUCUCUCCAAUUGCUAACUAAAUCAUCAAAAAUAAAAAUUGGUCCGCAUUAGUGCGCAUGUGAUGGCUCCUCCCAUUUUGCAUUUCAUGAAGCCCCA